rnacentral:rRNA from 1 species
GAUGAACGCUGGCGGCAUGCCUAAUACAUGCAAGUUGAACGGCAGCACAAGUAGCAAUCCUGUGUGGCGAUUGGCGCACGGGUGCGUAACACAUAUGCAUCCUACCCUAUACAGGCUAAUAACCUUUAGGAAUGACGGCUAUUACGCCGUAGUAUUACUUGUGCCCAUCUGUUUGUAAGUAAAAGUUUGUCUUUAUAUCAUGUGCAUACGUCCCAUUAGUUAGUUGGUAAGUUAACGGCUUACCAACACACUGAUGGGUAGCGGAUCUGAGAGGACGUACCCCCACAAUGGUAAUGCGGCACGGACCCGAAUCGUACGGGAGGCAGAAGUAAGGAAGACUGGGGAAGGGCAGCGAGGCUGACCAAGCCAUGCCGAGUGAAGGAAGACGGCCUUAUGGGUAGUAAACUGCUUUUAUAAGGGAAUAAUAGAGUGUACGCGUACAUUUAUGCAAGUAUCGUAUGAAUAAGCACCGGCUAACUCCGUG